AAGGCGCAGAUUGCAUGAUGCAACAGUUCACCCUGUUCAGCAAAAUUGUGAAAAAAAGGUCACUGUUCCAGUAACAUUGAAUUGAGUCAACCGGAUGCUAUGAUGCGAUAUUUCUGCAACCCAUGAGGUGCAAUGAGUUUGGACAACCCACAUCCUGUUUUACCCUCCAACCAUGUGAUUCGCUGUCACCAUGACAAUCAAAUGGGAAGUUGAUUUGUGUCAUCUCUGAGCUAUGAUUGGUCCCCAGUGCCAGUUCCGGUUUCCCGGAAGGCUAGAGCAGUAGCAAGCAGAAGUUCUGUAGGCAGUGGAAGACAAUGCGAGAUGAGAGGCUAAGAGAUCAGGUAUGGCACAGACGAUGAUUUGGGUGCUGCUUUCUGUGGGUCUUUGCAUCCGUCAUGUCUUCGCUGCAUCAACGCUGACUUCCUCACUGGAUAUGAGUACCACUAUGGCAACUCCAGCAGUAACCACAACAAAGCCCAGGAUCAGCACAGUCACAAAAGUUUCGACUACAUCAGUGGUCAGUGACGCAACAACAGCAACAAAAACAAACACAGCAGCAGAAACCAACAGGACACUCACAGCAGAAAAGGUGGAUCUCACUGAGGUAACAACAGCAGAUUCGUUGCUUGAAAAAACUAACAUUUCAAAGACAACUCUUGGACUGACAACAAACAGUAAGACUUUUAGAGUAGUGAUUCCAAAGACAAACGCUUAUGUUUUGGCUGCCACUGCAACACCCAAACCACCUAAACAACCGCUAGCGACAGCCUCUUCCACUUUAAUCACCUCUGCUGAGGAGUCCAAUGCCAUUCAGAGCACAGGAUCAAGCCCCACCACAGCAGAGCAGAACAGAGGCCCCCAGCUGACACCAAGCCCUUCCCUGCUGGGAAUAGAGGGGACCCAGGGCCAUCUGGGGGCCACGGCAAGCUCACAGACAGCAUCCCCUGGGCCUGGGUUGGAUUCGACUCUAUUCGAGCAGAGGACGGAAAUUGAUGGGAGUGUAAACUAUACUGCCUCCAGUGAGGCAGGUCUGCCUCAGAGCUUAAGCUCCCCCCACUCCUCCAUGUCUCCAAGGGGAAACUCAACUCAGGCCAGGCCAGACAACACGGAGAGGCAGGAAAGGGAGAUACGCACCAACAGUGUGACAACAGCGAACGCAAGGAUGUACGAUGCAUACGCUGACACGACAUCAAGCGCCCAUCUCAAACAACCUACUGACAGAGUCACACACACCACCACAAACCUCCGAACAAUAUUCACCACCUUCAGAACUGGAGCAGCAACAGCAGAUCCUUCUUCUGCCCUGCGCACUUCCAAGGACAUGGAGACUGAUACAUCAAACAUCAGUCUGCCCGUCAACAGCACUUCAUCACUUAACAUCUCAAUUCAGUCACACACUCUGGCCACAACCACACAGAUGAUGACAGGAGGCGUAAGGCAAACUGGAACAGGGGAUUGCCAUCCUCUCCCAUCCUUCCCAUCCUCUCCCUUCUGUACAAAGUUGACCUGCUUCCUCAUGCUCUGGGUCCUUGCUACGCUUGCGUCCUUCUUCCUGGGACUCAAUAUCUUCCUGUGGGUUCGUCUGUCUGCUGUGAGGAAGAGCAGGAGCUGGGAGAUGGAGGGACUGACAGGGGCAAGAGGAGUGGAGAGAGGAACUGUAGAGGAAAAGGACAGCCUGUGGGCAAACCCAGGGGUGACAGUAGAGGAGAGCGCGGAGUUCUGGUACGCUAACGGCACCGUGAUCCCCAGCAGUGACAGACACAGAGGGACAGGGAAGGAGAGAAAAAAGGAGAAACGGAGAGAGAAAAAGGGGGAGAGGAUGAAUGGAAGCCUAUGGCCUCAGCCUGAAGUGACUAUGGCAGACAUCACAGAGUUCUGGUAUGGGAGGGAGAGGCCAAUGGGGAGGAAUCACCUGACAAUACUGGAGGAAGAGGAGGCCCGUUGCGUAGACUGAGGAAGAUGCUAAUGAGGACUAGUGACACUGGACCAGUCAGCCUGAGCCUUACAAUUCCCUCACUGUUUCAUUUCUGAGGCAAACCCAUUUGUAUAUUGAUUCAAUUGUUAAUUAUUCACUGUAUGCUUUGUCUUGCAAAGUAAAUGUUUCAUUCCACAACAUGAACUUGUGUGAGAGGUAUGUCAAAAUGUUUGUGUCUGGGAACAAGUAUGUGGAUGCGGAUAUAUUAGGGGAUUUAGUAAUGCGUGGUUGUUCAUGUGCGUUCGUGUGCAAGAGACAGGAAGAACUAAUAGUAAAUGGACACCAUGAGGAAAAGAGGAAAUGACUGAAACUUACUGUAUCUCUACACACUACCCUACCCUACCACACACACGCACAGAAACACACACACACACACACACACACACACACACACACACACACACACACACACAAAUGACAAAUGACAAAUGAUACAUAGACAAAAAUACACACAACAGUAUUGAAAAAUAUAUAUAAAAGACAGAAUAUGUUUACCGGUAUAUACAUGUAUGAUUUGACAUUUGUGAGCCAAAGUCCUUCUAGGCAAGUCUUGCGGCAUUCGGCAGCCAUUUUGGCAACGCCUCUGGGCAGCUAUUUCAGGGUAACUAGAUCAGGCUCCCAUCUAAAUGAAUAGGGGGAGAUCAGGCUCCCAUCUAAAUGAAUAGGGGGAGAUCAGGCUCCCAUCUAAAUGAAUAGGGGGAGUUUCAUAACUCCACA
ensembl:lncRNA